GCUGCAGAUGGGCUAGGAAAUGGGCCAUAUUUACCAGCCUCGGCCUGUCCCUCUAUCCCCGAAGAACAUGGUAGAUGUUAUUAACCAACAACGACGUCGUAUCUGUACAAUAAAUCAAUACAGAACACAGCUCUUGUUCUAUUCUCUUCUCUCUCGCGCGGCUCACUCCACUGUUGGCAAAGAUGGAGUUCGCGAACCUUGAAGGUUUUUUUUUUUUUUUUUUGGAUUCGAGGAAACCUCACUCUCUAGAAAGCAUAUUUUAUGGACCCAGAUGAGGCAACUCAAAGCACAAGUUGAUGUCAUAGACAAAGCAGACGGGUAUGCUUAAUUAUUUCUAACCACCUCAUAAAAACUAUUGUUUCUUUUGUAAUUUUUUUAGAUGGUUGAAUACUAAAGUAAUCGCUGCUGUGAGGUAGCUAAUCACCAAACAGAGAGUUUUUACCCUGAUUUCCUUUUUAAAGGUGGAAAAUUAAGCAAUAAAUUUAUUAUUAUUAUUAUUAUAAAUACACUUUUAGUGGGAUUUAGGUUGCUAACUUUUCCAUUGAACGUUUAAGAGCACGAGGCAACUUUACUAUGGGUGCUUUGAAAGAUUUCAAGUAUUGCCUGCCAGUAUAACCUUUUCUUCUUGAAUCUGCAAGGGUGUGCAAAUAAAUAUUUGCAAUCGCGAAAGGUAAGCCUCUCCAUGCUAGAUGCUAGUGAUAUUUAGCUUUUGAAUUGCCAGAAAUAUUAAACCAUUUAAAAUCCUAAAAACUACUAAUAGACUCAUGAUCUAAUGGCAAUGACGUCAUUCCUCCAUGCUUUUGGAAGAAACUUGUGAUACUAGUUUCAAAUAUUGGAGAUUGAGGGGGUCAAUGGAUGAGAUUUGGAAAGCAAAGAAAUGAUUUAAUUCUGAAUUAAGAGUAAAAUAGUCAAGAUUUUUAAUUUAAUUCAAUUUCAACAUUCCAAACAGUAUAAAUAAAUUCAAUUCCAAAAGGUGACAGGUAAAUUAUACUUUUUUAUUUUUAUGAAAAUCUUCUGUUUGAUUAUGCCAUUUUCCAAACAGUAAUAUUUUUAUUUUUGUUGUAGUUUGAAUAGCAAUAAGACUUUUAUGUAACAUUAACAGUAUAAACAAUAUUAUCCUUUAAUUAAAUUAUCAACUUUUAUUUUGAUAAAUUUCUUGAAGGUGAAAUAUAGGUUCCCAAAGGCCAACUCCCCUUUCAAAAUCUAUAAUACCUUAAAAGAUUCUGAAAAGGCUGAUAGGAGACAAAGAAAGAACUUAGUCAUGGCAGAAUCAAGCCAACUUUUUGAAGAAAAAAGUGAUGAAAUAGAUCAUUUACUUGAAAGGUUUUAGGGAGGACCACUACAAACAAAAACCAACAACAUGAACUUCACUACGGACAUGCCUUCCUCCCUGUUAUUCCAUGUUAGCCAAAACCUACAAUUUAUUGCUUCAAAUGCCCUGGGAUUAUUAAAGGCUCCUGCAAUCAUGCCUCAAAAUACAUUGUAAACUACUAUAAACCAAAUGCCCCAAAUGCCUCCACCCUUAUUUCAGCCUGAAUAUGAUUCAUCAUGGGUGGUUACCAUUUUAAGAGAAAGACAGAGUAUCCAACAUAACCACAAAUGAGUAUUAGGUCGUUAAAGACGAGGGCAUAUAUGAUCUAUUUUCAACUAAUGAAGAAUGUUGCGAGCCAAAUGUUGGCAUUUCCAAAAAGUUUAGAGUCUUCUUAUUUGUUAAGUAUACAGGAUCUCAAUGUCCAGAGACUCAUCUCAAAAUAUACUACAAUAAAAUGACUGAAGUUAUCUAUGAAGAGAAACUUUUUAUUCAUCAUUUUUCAUGAAAAGGCUAGUUGAACUUGUUUUUAGUUGGUAUAUGGGUUUGAAUGGCUCUUAAAUGGAGAAGUGGGAAUAUUUGGCCAUUGCAUGUUUUAAAAAAAAUUGGAUUUAACUUGAUGGUGAUUCCAACCAGGUAUGACCUUUAAAGAAUGGGGAUGAGAAGUAAUGAGUUAGUGAAGGAAUAUGUUAUGAGACUACAUGACAUGGCAACAUAAAUCUACCCUUCUCUGCUUGAAAAUGAGCUCACUUUCAUCUUUAUUGAGACUUUAGAGCUCAAUAACUCUAGUCAUUUUAGAAGCUCCAUACUUCGGCUACUUGAUGAACAAUUCAUCAAGCUAUUUUAUGGAUUUAGGGACUGCAGCAAAAAGGAUGGAGCAAGGCUUGAAGUCAGGAAGGAUCAGGAAUCCGAUAGUGAGGUUUAAUGUUAUGUCAAAGAACAAAUCAAAAGUGGACUCCCAUAUAGAGAAUAUGGAUCAAAAUCAUUCUAUACCUCAUCUUAAAUACCGUCUAUUUUCAUAACACCAAUAACUUUCCAAGUGUCAUUAGCUAAUAUUGACAUAUCUCUAUCACUUGGCAUUAUUUACCCACACCUUUGAAAUAUUGGACACAUUGCUCUGAUUCCAUCAAAUCCCAUAUGACCACUAUACUUGAAGUGGUAAGACCCAAAUGUAAAGUGUAAGUAUCAUGAUGAUGAGAUCCUAUGACAAUCAAUUGAGAAUUACAAGAAGUUGAAGCAUCAAAGCCAAAAGUGGGUAGGAUGGGGCAUGAGGAUGGAAGAUGCACCAGAUGAAUGCACAGGCCACAUAUAUUUGUUGGAGGGGGUUGAUAUGAAAUAGAAGUGUUACAUUGUCAACUCUUUUGUCAUUGAACUUUGCCGAGUUCUAUUUUUGUUAAAAAAAACAUCAAAACCUUGGAAUUAUUAAAUAUGUUUUCCAUGUAUUUUGAAACUAAAUUAUAUCUUUUAAUAGAACAUGCUUUUUUUUUGUCUCA